UACGUAGGGUGCAAGCGUUAAUCGGAAUUACUGGGCGUAAAGCGUGCGCAGGCGGUGUUGUAAGUCAGAUGUGAAAUCCCCGGGCUUAACCUGGGAACUGCAUUUGUGACUGCAUCGCUGGAGUGCGGCAGAGGGGGAUGGAAUUCCGCGUGUAGCAGUGAAAUGCGUAGAUAUGCGGAGGAACACCGAUGGCGAAGGCGAUCCCCUGGGCCUGCACUGACGCUCAUGCACGAAAGCGUGGGGAGCAAACAGG
rnacentral:rRNA from 1 species